rnacentral:rRNA from 1 species
AUUGAACGCUGGCGGCAGGCUUAACACAUGCAAGUCGAGCGGAGAUGAGGUGCUUGCACCUUAUCUUAGCGGCGGACGGGUGAGUAAUGCUUAGGAAUCUGCCUAUUAGUGGGGGACAACAUUCCGAAAGGAAUGCUAAUACCGCAUACGUCCUACGGGAGAAAGCAGGGGAUCUUCGGACCUUGCGCUAAUAGAUGAGCCUAAGUCGGAUUAGCUAGUUGGUGGGGUAAAGGCCUACCAAGGCGACGAGCUGUAGCGGGUCUGAGAGGAUGAUCCGCCACACUGGGACUGAGACACGGCCCAGACUCCUACGGGAGGCAGCAGUGGGGAAUAUUGGACAAUGGGGGGAACCCUGAUCCAGCCAUGCCGCGUGUGUGAAGAAGGCCUAUGGUUGUAAAGCACUUUAAGCGAGGAGGAGGCUACUGAGACUAAUACUCUUGGAUAGUGGACGUUACUCGCAGAAUAAGCACCGGCUAACUCUGUGCCAGCCGCCGCCGUAAAAC